rnacentral:rRNA from 1 species
ACGAACGCUGGCGGCGUGCUUAACACAUGCAAGUCGAACGGAAAGGCCCUGCUUUUGUGGGGUGCUCGCGUGGCGAACGGGUGAGUAACACGUGAGUAACCUGCCCUUGACUUUGGGAUAACUUCAGGAAACUGGGGCUAAUACCGGAUAGGAGCUCCUGCUGCAUGGUGGGGGUUGGAAAGUUUCGGCGGUUGGGGAUGGACUCGCGGCUUAUCAGCUUGUUGGUGGGGUAGUGGCUUACCAAGGCUUUGACGGGUAGCCGGCCUGAGAGGGUGACCGGCCACAUUGGGACUGAGAUACGGCCCAGACUCCUACGGGAGGCAGCAGUGGGGAAUAUUGCACAAUGGGCGGAAGCCUGAUGCAGCAACGCCGCGUGCGGGAUGACGGCCCUCGGGUUGUAAACCGCUUUCGCCUGUGACGAAGCGUGAGUGACGGUAAUGGGUAAAGAAGCACCGGCUAACUACGUG